CACGUAGGGGGGCGAGCGUUUGUCCGGAUUUAUUGGGCGUAAAGAGCUCGUAGGCGGCUCGGUAAGUCAGGUGUGAAAACUCUAGGCUCAACCUAGAGACGCCACCUGAUACUGCUGUGGCUAGAGUCCGGUAGGGGAGCAUGGAAUUCCUGGUGUAGCGGUGAAAUGCGCAGAUAUCAGGAGGAACACCAGUGGCGAAGGCGGUGCUCUGGGCCGGAACUGACGCUGGAGGAGCGAAAGCGUGGGGAGCAAACGGG
rnacentral:rRNA from 1 species